AUUCAUUUCAGCAGCACGUAUACUAAAGCAAUAUAGAACAAUAUAGAGAUGAUUAUCAUGGCUCCUACAUAAGUAUGGCAUGCAAAUUUGUGAAACAUUCAAUAUUUGU